AGAAAUGAGCGGGGCACUUAGGAUAAGCUGUGUUUACCUAAGUGGGGAGAUGACCUUUGGGAGAAGGCAGGGAAUACAAUUGGACUUGGGUACGAAGUGGCAGGAGCAGAGAGGGGACUUACCAGCUGUGGGGAACUUGCGGGCAGGCGCUCCAAGGUGGUGGAAACCAUUUAGGAGUAGCUGGGCUUCAAGGGGCUUGUCUGGCCUCAGCCCGGGCCCAGGCAUGGGUGUCUGAGGCUGUCCUAGGGCCUGGGGCCCAAAGUACUGGAAGAGUUCAGGAGGGUUGGUGGGGGCAGCCCCUGGUGGGGGAGGAGGUCCUGGCCCCACCAGCCCUGGUGGCAGGCCAAGUGGCAGCCCCUGGUGCAACAUCAGGACGUUCUGCAUGUGUUUCUCAGAAGUCAUGUGGAUGCGCAGGUUUCGGGAGAUGUUGGUUUCGUAGCUGCACACUUUGCACUGCCAGGAUGACUUGGUCUUGGGCUCUUUAUCCCCGACAGAGGUGGGUGGGAGGGAUGCCUCCGGGGGACUCGCCUGCCCGCCAGGCCCUGCCUGGAAGCCCUGCAGGUUGGCCAGGUGCUUGUCGGACUGCAUGUGGAUGCUGAGGUUGCCUUUGGUGGUGGUGGAGUAGUUGCAGACAUCGCAGCGGUAGGGCUUGUAGCCGCAGUUGUAGCUCUCUCCGCGGGCCAGGCGGGGGUGGGCGCCCCCGGCGCUACAGUAGCUGCAGUGGCUGUUGCUCUCGGGGUGCUUCUCCCGCAUGUGCACGUCCAGGGUCUGCUGGUACUUGUAGUGCCAGUUGCACUUGGGACACUUGAGAGUCUUGCAGGAAUUGCGUGAGUGUAGCAGGGACAUGUGACUGGACAGGCUGAGGCCCUGGAAGGCGGCAGGGGCUGGAGUGUAGUCAUCGGCCAGGCGACAGGACGGAGGUGGGUCACUGGUAUCUUCGGGAGAGCCUGCUGGAGCUGGGAGCACGGCCACCUCCUUAGAGGUGGGUGAGCUUUGGUUGAGCGGGAGGCAGAGCCCUCCAUCCUCUUCCUGCCCCUCAGGGAACCAGUCUGGCCCCGCCUCGCCUCUUGGUACUGGCGAAUCUUUGGCUUGGGUUGGGCUGGGGUCCCAGGUGGCUAGGGCUGUGGGUGGGGAUGGUGGGCUGAGGGCUAUAACCUCUUCAGCGGGGAGAACAAGGGCUUGACCAUCUGCCUCUGGGGGGCCGUCCUCAGCCUGGGCUCCAUUUGUCUUCACAGUCACUGUGCUGGUGUCCGGUACUUCGGGAGAAGGACGGGCAGCCAGAGACGGCGCUGAGGUAUCGUGGGACAACAUUUGGUCAGAAGAGCUAAAGCCUUGGAUUGGGUCGAAGCCAUGUUGGAUGUGAAGGGUGGUAAGGUGUGAGGAGGGGAAGUGGGUGAGGAGGGGCAGGCUGGGCUCUUCCUUGGCGCUUGCCUCAUCCCAGGGGAAGCCCUUUGGUAACGAGAGUUCACUGCCCCUAGGCAGGGGCAGGUUGGCCAGUAGGUAGGCCUGGCCUCCAGCUGCGAAGAAUAAGUGGCUGCUGAGGUCCAAAGGAAGGAUCUCUUCCUCCUCCUUUGCCACCCCAAGGUCCUUUGGUGGGAUGUGGCCACAGCCAGGCUCUUCUUGGGGCUCUCCAAUCUCCUUUGGUGGGUCAAGGUCACUGCCUGACUCCAGACGCUCUCCCCCCGGCUCUGAGGACCUUAUGCUCUCAGAGGUGGAGGGGGCAUCAGGGGGAUCUUUGGUGACAGGAUCAGAGGUGCUGGAGGAGGAGGUCUCUGGAGGUGGUGACCGAACAUUGUGCCCAGGGGAAGGAACGGUUCCGGAGGGAGAGGCUGAGUUAAGGGUAGCCAUGGUAGACGGAGGACUGCUGAGGGUUCAUUUCAGCGUGACAGCCAGUACCCUGCAUGGAGGCAUGGGGAGAGCAGUGCCGUAAGAUCUCGGGGUCCCCAGCAAGGCUGAAUGUCUGGACUCUUUAGCCCUACUAUGCUCAGACUCAGGUGCCCCCAUGCCAACUUGAAGCUCUACUUAGUGUGUCUAAAACCAGAGUUCACGAUCGCUUUCCAAACCAGCUCUUCUCCAUCUUGCAAUCUCAAAUGUGGUACCACUCAACCCUCGGCUUAUAUGUCUAUGCUAUGCCCUGUAGCUUCCAUUCCAUAACCAGUUCCAGGAUGCAUCAGACCCUACACUCACAUCUUCCUCACCAGCAGCACCCUGGUCGGACCCACUGGUAUCUUUUUGAGCUGAUGCACCAGAUGGGAUACUCUUUUCCUUCCCACCUCUGCCCUCUCCAAGCUGACAGCCAAAACAACCCCUUCAUGUUCAACUACAGAAAAUGCCCAACAUGUGUAGGGAGAACCUCUGUCUGCUGCCCGCUGUCAGUGGCAAUCAGCGCAUGGGCGGUCUCGUCUUCGUUUGUGCCCUCACCAAAACUGCUUUACUCCCCGCGGUGUUUUAAUUUUAGGUUAGAAUUAAAUAUAAAUUUUAGGUUAC